CGGGCUGAGGAACACGUGGGUAUCUGCCUGGCAGUGGGGGAUAACGGGUCGAAAGGUCCGCUAAACCCGCAUACGUUCCCUCUUCGGAGGGAAGAAAGCAGCAAUGCGCUGCCAGAGGAGCCUGCGGCCCAUCAGAUAGUUGGCGGGGUAAUGGCCCACCAAGUCGAUGACGGGUCCCUGGUCUGAGAGGACGACCAGGCAGACUGGGACUGAGACACGGCCCAG
rnacentral:rRNA from 1 species